GCUAUUUUGGCAGAUAAGUGCAUUGGAUUUAGAAUCUUUUAAUGUAAAUUUUCAUUUACAGGUAGUA
rnacentral:tRNA from 1 species